rfam:Populus trichocarpa isolate Nisqually-1 chromosome 17, whole genome shotgun sequence.
UUUAUAACUCGAGAUAUGGACUGAACACUAAACAGUGUCUGAGCUACAGGACAGAUUUUGACUUCUCCGUUGUUGUUAAGAUUUGGACUUCCAAACAACAGAAUUGAGUCUUACACUCCCAUGAAUGUUUUAGGCCUAUGUCUUAGCUUUCUAGC